GGGUUAGUGGUCUAAUGGUAUGAUUCUCGCUUUGGGUGCGAGAGGCCCGGGGUUCGAUUCCCCGCUAACCCC
rnacentral:tRNA from 1 species